rfam:Drosophila melanogaster chromosome 3R.
GGAGCUCAAAUUGACUCUAGUAGGGAGUCCUUUAAUGAGCGACUCCCUAACGGAGUCAGAUUGAGCUGCAA